CAGUAGCCGCGGGAAAACGUAGGUGGCAAGCGUUGUCCGGAAUUAUUGGGCGUAAAGGGCUCGCAGGCGGUUUCUUAAGUCUGAUGUGAAAGCCCCCGGCUCAACCGGGGAGGGUCAUUGGAAACUGGGAAACUUGAGUGCAGAAGAGGAGAGUGGAAUUCCACGUGUAGCGGUGAAAUGCGUAGAGAUGUGGAGGAACACCAGUGGCGAAGGCGACUCUCUGGUCUGUAACUGACGCUGAGGAGCGAAAGCGUGGGGAGUGAACAGGAUUAGAUACCCCGGUAGUCCCUGUCUCUUAUAA
rnacentral:rRNA from 1 species